CGUGCGCCAGGCGGUGCGGCGUCCACCGCGUCUCCCGGGACGACCUCGGGCGCUUCCCUCUCCCAGCGGUUAAUUGGAUUCGGGAGGGGGGAGUGUCAGUCUACCGCAGGGGCCAAUCGAAGGUCUGGAAAGCCCUAUAUGCAAAUAAGAGGGCCGGGCGGACCCCAAGUUAGGAGGGGCGCGGGUUGGGGUUAGAGGUUGUUUGGCAGCCAAUGGGAGGGUGUCUCCUUAAUCCUUCGAGGAGGGGACCCGCAAGUGUGGUUGCCAGCGGUACGGGCGGCAGAGCAGGGGCGAGAGGAAUCGCUGAUGAUUGGUGAUCAAUCUGUCCAGCUGCCGAUAUGAGAGUGGUAAGCAUCUGCAUUUAAGGGAUCCACCGGGGGACCCACUGGAUUCCCCCAAAGAGUUGGGAAGCAUCAUUCAUAUAUUCCUGAGGAUGGAAAGGGGUGUCUUCAGAUCCUGC
rnacentral:lncRNA from 1 species